rnacentral:rRNA from 1 species
CCUACGGGAGGCAGCAGUGGGGAAUAUUGCACAAUGGGGGAAACCCUGAUGCAGCGACGCCGCGUGAGUGAAGAAGGAUCUCUGUAUGUAAAGCUCUUUCAGCAGGGAAGAAAAUGACGGUACCUGUUUAAGAAGCCCCGGCUAACUACGGGCCAGCAGCCGCGGUAAUACGUAGGGGGCAAGCGUUAUCCGGAUUUACUGGGUGUAAAGGGAGCGUAGACGGCAGCACAAGUCGGGAGUGAAAGGCCGUGGCUUAACCCCGGAACUGCUUUGGAAACUGUGCAGCUAGAGUGCAGUGGAGGUAAGUGGAAUGCCUAGUGUAGCGGUGAAAUGCGUAGAUAGUAGGAGGAACACCAGUGGCGAAGGCGGCUUACUGGACUGUAACUGACGUUGAGGCUCGAAAGCGUGGGGAGCAAACAGGAUUAGAUACCCUGGUAGUC